UUUUAGUGAAAAGAAAUGUUAACCCAAACUAAAAAAUAAACUAGUUUUACCAAAAGAAUGUUCAAGUACUUGCCCCAAACAGUACCAAGUCAGAGUAUUAGCAGUUGUGCCUCUUGUUUAGAUAUCAUGUUCCAUUAUAGUACCCAUAGGAGGGGGUCAUAAUCAGAAUUCUUCAGAGAAACAGAACUAAUGGGAUGUGCAUAUACUAAAAGAGAGAGAAUUUAUUACAAGGAAUUGGCUCACAUAUGUAUGGAGGUGAGCAAGUUCCAAGAACUGCUGGGUGAGUCAGCAAGUUGGAGACUCUGGUGAGUCAACGGUAUAGUUCCUGUGGAGUUGGUAGAACCUGAGAGCUAGGCCUUGCAGAAUAGAAGGUGGAUCUUUUAUGGGUUUCCAGCUAAGUAGAAAAAUGAUCAAAACUCCACAUGUAGGCAGACUCCAAGGUUAAGUGAAAUUGUUGGAAGUGUUCUAAAUUAUACUGUAUUUCUUUAAACUCUAGUGUUAGGAAUUAAAGCUACAAUAGUACUUAAAUCAUUUUCUGUGUACUUUAAACAUUAGCAUUCAUAAGUUUGCUGUUAAGUAGUUCAACACAACUCUCCAAGUAACUUUAUGGAAUCAAAAGAAAUCACAUUUCCUGUAAAUUAUUCCAGAGCAAAGAGAGAUGAUGAUGGAGGGAGGGGACUUGUUUUCCUCAUAGUACAGUAACUUAAUUUUACUUAUACCUGUAAUAUACUGUUCCUUUAAUGGUCUUCCAGCCCCAACUCCCAGUAUGUAGUUGGGGUGCCUGUGUCUGAUGAAAUUCUCUGUUGGCCUGGGAGAUUAUUUCUAAAUAAUCUUAUUCUUUUGUGCCUGCUCCUAAAUCCUUAUACCACCACACUUUGAAUGUGGUAUAAGUAUCAACCCCCAAAUAAGAAAGUAGAUUUUGACAGAGCUAUAUAAUCAAAGUAAUUUUCCUUUUGCAACUAUUCCACAAAGAAGAAAAAAAAAAAAGAACAUUUGAAGUUGUUCAGCUACUUCCAUUGUCUUAGAUUAGUAUUCUUUUUUGAGAGUUGUCAGAUAAAGCUAGGGCAAAGCUGAAAUAAUAAUAUCCUGUAUCAUUUUAUUUUUUAUUUUUGUAUUUCUCCCCUAACUUACUGGCUGUCUCUUUUCAGUGUUUCCCACCAUCCUUUUCUAUUGCCUGCUGGGCCAAUCUUUUCUCAAAUCAAACAGUUGAAUUUUCUUAUUAUACUUCGACUAUCUUAAAGAUGCCCCUGUAUUGCCAGGGUUCCUUGCAGCUAGGCAACAGUCCCUUGAGUUCCAGCCCACAUGGGGAGAAGGAGAAUGUGUUGGUUGGAAAGCUUGGAAAAGGAAGCAAGACUUGAGUGCUAGGAUCCUCUGUCUGCUGACUAUACUUUAGAGAUGAGUGAGCGCAAGGCCCUGGCAACCACUAUUCUGUUCUUUUUUUCUGUGGAGUCUGCCUAUUUUAGAUACCUCCUAAUUGGAAUCAUACAAUUGUUGUCUUCCCGGGACCACAGGUGGCAUCUACUGUGGCCCAGACAUGCAUAUUACUGGAAGAUGUCUGCUAUUUUUAUAACUGUGGCUUAGGGCUUUCACAUACUGCUAAUGAGAUGAAGCACUAUGCUCUUAGUUUCUGUAGUGAUUUUCAAAGCCAGUCGUGCAGGAAGACAUCAGUCAACAGUCAUUGCAGGGUCAGCAACCAGGAAGCAGUUGGAGAAAAUACAAGGUCUCACAGGGCCCUGAGCAACUGAGGACCAAAAGAAGACAUCCAACACUGGGGGUCUGGCCAUAGACAUGGAGCUCUGAAGAGUGAUGGAUCAGAAGUCUCGGUCCAAGAAUUAGUUCUGCACUGCUUCAACUACAAGCAGCUAUGGAAAUGCGCUUCAUUGGUUGAGUUGAUGACCAAACCUGAAGGAGAUCUGGCAUUGGUGUUUCUACAAGCUCAAUGAGAGGAGAGAGUACUUCUCUUGGAAGGGGAUUCGAUGGAAGGAAAGGCUAGGUGGAAAGGAGCUGGAAGUCAAGCAGGAAUCCUGGAGCACACUGCAGACUGAAAAGGCCUGUUUUGGUCUAGGAGUGUCACACAGAGAGAGAGAGAGAGAGGCAGAGGGAGAAGCAGGUUCCAUGCACCGGGAGCCCGACGUGGGAUUCAUCAACUUCUGUGCCUUCCUCUGCCCCCACCACCUCUGUGUCCUGAUUGUUCAAUACUCUGGUUGCCCAAAACGCGGCGCCACCCAGAGAUCCCGAAUGCUGCCAAAUUUCAAAAGAGGUACAACAUUUAUUUUUCACCAACCACGCAUAAAAGCAGUCAUUUUCCCCUCUGUUCCUCAGGACUGGUUUCAGAUAUCAAAGCCCUGCCAAAUUCAGCUUUAAGUUUGAUGGCAUCUGACUAUUAUCCUUCUAAAAUACCUAUGGAGGACCAGAAAAUGGAUAUAAGUUUAGAAUGGCAUGGAAAAACUACAACAAUCAGUCAACCUACAGCACCAAUCUCGGGGCAAUGUCCACUAAAUAAAAUGAAAGCACAGUCAUCUGCUAUUGUGUAGCUCAGAAAGAAAGUCCCCCCCCCCCCCAAAAUAAA